rnacentral:rRNA from 1 species
CCUACGGGUGGCAGCAGUGAGGAAUAUUGGUCAAUGGACGAGAGUCUGAACCAGCCAAGUAGCGUGAAGGAUGACUGCCCUUUGGGUUGUAAACUUCUUUUAUAUGGGAAUAAAAUAUUCCACGAGUGGCAUUUUGUAUGUACCAUAUGAAUAAGGAUCGGCUAACCUCGUGCCAGCAGCCGCGGUAAUACGGAGGAUCCGAGCGUUAUCCGGAUUUAUUGGGUUUAAAGGGAGCGUAGGUGGGUUGUUAAGUCAGUUGUGAAAGUUUGCGGCUCAACCGUAAAAUUGCAGUUGAAACUGGCAGUCUUGAGUACAGUAGAGGUGGGCGGAAUUCGUGGUGUAGCGGUGAAAUGCUUAGAGAUCACGAAGAACUCCGAUUGCGAAGGCAGCUCACUGGACUGCAACUGACGCUGAGGCUCGAAAGUGUGGGUAUCAAACAGGAUUAGAUACCCGGGUAGUC